AUUGAACGCUGGCGGCAGGCCUAACACAUGCAAGUCGAGCGGAUGAAGGGAGCUUGCUCCUGGAUUCAGCGGCGGACGGGUGAGUAAUGCCUAGGAAUCUGCCUGGUAGUGGGGGAUAACGUCCGGAAACGGGCGCUAAUACCGCAUACGUCCUGAGGGAGAAAGUGGGGGAUCUUCGGACCUCACGCUAUCAGAUGAGCCUAGGUCGGAUUAGCUAGUUGGUGGGGUAAAGGCCUACCAAGGCGACGAUCCGUAACUGGUCUGAGAGGAUGAUCAGUCACACUGGAACUGAGACACGGUCCAGACUCCUACGGGAGGCAGCAGUGGGGAAUAUUCGACAAUGGGCGAAAGCCUGAUCCAGCCAUGCCGCGUGUGUGAAGAAGGUCUUCGGAUUGUAAAGCACUGUAAGUUGGGAGGAAGGGCAGUAAGUUAAUACCUUGCUGUUUUGACGUUACCAACAGAAUAAGCACCGGCUAACUUCGUG
rnacentral:rRNA from 1 species